rnacentral:rRNA from 1 species
UACGAAGGGGACUAGCGUUGUUCGGAAUUACUGGGCGUAAAGCGCGCGUAGGCGGAUCGCUAAGUCAGGGGUGAAAUCCCAGGGCUCAACCCUGGAACUGCCUUUGAUACUGACGAUCUGGAGAUCGGGAGAGGUUGGUGGAAUUCCGAGUGUAGAGGUGAAAUUCGUAGAUAUUCGGAGGAACACCAGAAGCGAAGGCGGCCAACUGGCCCGAUACUGACGCUGAGGCGCGAAAGCGUGGGGAGCGAACGGG